GCCCUCUUAGCUCAGUUGGUAGAGCACCUCCAUGGUAAGGAGGGGGUCGGCGGUUCGAGUCCGCCAGAGGGCU
rnacentral:tRNA from 2 species